GGGGAUUUAGCUCAGCGGCAUAAGCGCCUGCCUUGCAAGCAGGAAGUCCUGAGUUCGAUCCCUA
rnacentral:tRNA from 1 species